rnacentral:rRNA from 1 species
CAGUCGCCGCGGGAAUACGAAGGGGGCUAGCGUUGCUCGGAAUUACUGGGCGUAAAGGGAGCGUAGGCGGAUCGUUUAGUCAGGGGUGAAAUCCCGGGGCUCAACCUCGGAACUGCCUUUGAUACUGGCGAUCUUGAGUACGGGAGAGGUGUGUGGAACUCCGAGUGUAGAGGUGAAAUUCGUAGAUAUUCGGAAGAACACCAGUGGCGAAGGCGACACACUGGCCCAUUACUGACGCUGAGGCUCGAAAGCGUGGGGAGCAAACAGGAUUAGAUACCCGCGUAGUCCCUGUCUCUUAUAC